GAGGAGAUGGCUCAGUGGUUAAGAGCACUGGCUGCUCUUCCAGAGGUCCUGAGUUCAAUUCCCAGCAACCACA
rfam:Neotoma lepida isolate 417 scaffold_538, whole genome shotgun sequence.